rnacentral:rRNA from 1 species
GGCUCAUCACAUCCUGGGGCUGGAGCAGGUCCCAAGGGUUUGGCUGUUCGCCAAUUACAGGAUAUGU